UGGGGCUGGAGCUAGAGGCACACAUUCCAUUUUUGCCACACAACACUGCAUUUUCUCUCCUGUUCUUGGAGCCCACCUGGUUGGCAUCUGGGAAACUGGGGCUGAGGAGCCAGAAGAAGCAAAAAUUACUGUCUGGGGAAUGUAGGGAAUCACAGACAGAGCUGCAGAUCUGAAAAGUGGGAAUGAAAUCUGAAAAGUGAGAAUGGAGAACUCCUUGGACCUACAGAUCUCCCCAAGCAGAAGCAGCAGGCCUGAGGAACGGUCGCAUCAGGGGAGCUUCUGAGGCACUCUGGGAGAGCAAAUGUCAACACUGUGUGGGAGAUUUAUGUCCAUUUAAAAACAAGAGACUGAAGUACAGUGAGUUCGGAGUGGGCUUUCUCUGUAGUCAUACUUAUGUCAUCACUGCCUACCACACAGCUUGGGCUGAAGCAACAGGAUGAUCAUUUGUCUGACACAGAUAACUUGGCGAAGUGCACCAGUGGUCUUACGAUGUACAGCAUGUUCGACAUUGCUACCUUUCAUAAUGUAUGAAGCUGAUUCAGCUAAGCAGACUUUGUUUUGGUCUAAUAGAUAAAUGCAUAUUUAAGAAAUUCAGAAGAAAAUUGUGAAUGCAUGUAGUAGGCCAUAAUAGUAGCUUAGAAUAUUUUCUGCCUGUACAGCAAGGUCAUUUCUUACUAUAUGCAUUGCAUAAUCAGUUUAAAGAGCUCUUAUUUUAAGCAGACGUCUUGAUUGGUUAUGUAAGACCACACUUGCUAGAUAUUUUAUUCAGUCUAUAAAAUGCAGUAUCUUUUUGAAGCUGGUGUCAUUGUUAGCAUAUAUUUAGGCUCCUCAUUGUGAAGUGAUUGUCUGAGUUCUGGAAAGUCUUUUCUGUGGAGUAGUUGAACCGCAGAUUAUUGGGAAUUCCUAGUAUGCAGUAGUAUUACAUGCAAUUACAUAAUUUAAGACUGUGCAGUAAAGUGCAACUUUAGAUAAGUUUGGAAGUGAGUUUUCCAUUAGACCUCAAUGAAUAUUGCAAAAGAACUUCCACAAAUAUUUCAGUCUUACAGUAUUUUCACCAUAACACUUUUUGUAAUCACUGUCUGUAAAUAUUUCCUUUGAAUCCUCAAAAAACAUGAGGAAGAUCAGUUUGUAGGCACUUACAAAACACCCAAGUU